GUGAGGAAUAUGUUCAAAUAGCCUUAACGGGUGAACCAGCAACUUGGAGGAAUGUAUAGCAAUAGCUAAUUGCACCAGAUAGUAACUGAUGCAAUAUCGACUCUGUCGAAUAAAAUUCUAGGUAGAAUUAUGAUAAUGACAUUAUCUGCCUACAUGUCUUGACCAAAUUACGUGCCAGCAGUCGCGGUAAUACGUAGAAGACUAGUGUUAUUCAUCUUUAAUAGGUUUAAAGGGUACCUAGACGGUAAAUCAAGCCUGCGAGGGGACUAGUUUACUAGAGUUACUUGCGAGGGGGUAUUAAAGUACUAAUGGUGUAGAGAUGAAAUUCUGUCAUACCUCUUUUCGGAAGAAAAACUAUGGCACAGGUAUAGGCGAAAGCAUCCCCUUAUGUGAUAACUGACGUUGAAGGACGAAGGCUUUGUGUCGCGAACAGGAUUAGAUACCCCAGUAGUCAAAGCAGAAAAUGAUGAAUGUCAUAGAUUAGGCAUAUAAUAGUUUAUUCUAUAAAUGAAAGUGUAAGCAUUCCACCUCAAGAGUAAUUUGGCAACAUUGGAACUGAAAUCAUUAGACCGUUUCUGAAACCAGUAGUGAAGUAUGUUGUUUAAUUUGAUAAUCCGCAAAAAACCUUACCACAACUUGAAUAUUUAUGUUUACUUUUUUAUAAAAAAAAUAUAUUUACAAGCGUUGCACGGCUGUCUUCAGUUAAUGUCGUGAGAUUUUGGUUAGUUCCAUUAAAUU
rnacentral:rRNA from 1 species